CGGUACCUUUUCAUUAACUGUAGGCAUUAAUUAACUACUUUUGGUAGGUGUGUUUCUUUUUGUUCUCAAUAAGUCUUAUAUACUAUGGGUAAAGUAAUGUGGAUGAAUAAGAAAUAAUGUUUUUUAGGUGCUACCUCAGCCAAAGAAUGCAUUGGGGAAACGGUACAACAAGUUAUUUCAGAUGAAUCAACUAAGUUAACCUACACUAUACAGAAAGUGCUUUGAGAUUAAUUGCAAGAAAAGCAAUAACUAAGAACACUGGGGCCGUGGUCUGAGGGCGUUAUUGGAAAACAUAUUGAUGGAUGCCAUGUAUGUGGUUUGUGUCUAAAGAUUACUACUGUAUUAUUUUUUUCUUUUUAUAAUGAAAUGAUAGAAAUAGAAUGAUAAUUUAUAAAUGUAAUGCAAAUUCCUAAUGAAAGAACACGUAAAUAUAUAAUAGAUGGUGUGGUUGUUGAUGAGGAGGCAGUUGGGAGUGGCGCUAAAAUCCUCCAUGGUGACGCUGCUCUUGCCCAUUAUCUAUCACAACACUUAAUAGGUAACUUGGAAGGAAUAUUUGCCCCUGGUUGGAUAGGAUAUGGGAAUGCUUAUGCACCCAAAGAAGCAGAUGAUCAAGCUAUGUCUGGUUAUUGAACUGCUGCACGCUUAUUUCCUGGGUGUCACUUACCUAAACUCGCUGAGCAGUUUUUUUUGCAAGCAAAUGCAAUAUGCCCUUCGGAUCCACUUGUCAUGAACAAAUUCACUGGGCACACAAAAG